rnacentral:rRNA from 1 species
UACGUAGGGGGCAAGCGUUAUCCGGAUUUACUGGGUGUAAAGGGAGCGUAGACGGCCAGACAAGUCUGAAGUGAAAAUCCAGCGCUUAACGUUGGAAGUGCUUUGGAAACUGCCGGGCUAGAGUGCAGGAGGGGCAGGCGGAAUUCCUAGUGUAGCGGUGAAAUGCGUAGGUAUUAGGAGGAACACCAGUGGCGAAGGCGGCCUGCUGGACUGCAACUGACGUUGAGGCUCGAAGGCGUGGGGAGCAAACAGG